UUAGAUGACCGGGGCCGCACGCGCGCCACACUGAGGGAAUCAGCGUGUGCUCCCCCCGUCCGGCAGGACUGGGUAACCCGCUGAACCUCCCUCGUGAUAGGGACAGGGGCUUGUAAUUGUUCCCCUCGAACGAGGAAUUCCCAGUAAGCGCGAGUCAUAAGCUCGCGUUGAUUACGUCCCUGCCCUUUGUACACACCGCCCGUCGCUACUACCGAUUGAAUGAUUUAGUGAGGUCUUCGGACUGGCGCUCGGAGCGGUGCUCGGUGCCGGGCCGACCUGCCGGAAAAAUGACCAAACUUGAUCAUUUAGACGAAGUAAAAGUCCUAACAAGGUUUCG
rnacentral:rRNA from 1 species